GAUGAACGCUGGCGGCGUGCCUAAUACAUGCAAGUCGAGCGAACGGACGAGAAGCUUGCUUCUCUGAUGUUAGCGGCGGACGGGUGAGUAACACGUGGAUAACCUACCUAUAAGACUGGGAUAACUUCGGGAAAACGGAGCUAAUACCGGAUAAUAUUUUGAACCGCAUGGUUCAAAAGUGAAAGACGGUCUUGCUGUCACUUAUAGAUGGAUCCGCGCUGCAUUAGCGAGUUGGUAAGGUAACGGCUUACCAAGGGAACGAUGCAUAGCCGACCUGAGAGGGUGAUCGGCCACACUGGAACUGAGACACGGUCCAGACCGCUACGGGAGGCAGCAGUAGGGAAUCUUCCGCAAUCGGCGGAAACCUGACGGAGCAACGCCGCGUGAGUGAUGAAGGUCUUCGGAUCGUAAAACUCUGUUAUUAGGGAAGAACAUAUGUGUAAGUAACUGUGCACAUCUUGACGUUACCUAAUCAGAAAGCCACGGCUAACUACGUG
rnacentral:rRNA from 1 species